rnacentral:rRNA from 1 species
AGUACCAAUUGGAGGGCAAGUCUGGUGCCAGCAGCCGCGGUAAUUCCAGCUCCAAUAGCGUAUAUUAAACUUGUUGCAGUUAAAAAGCUCGUAGUUGAAUUUCAGCGUUUCGCGUGUGCCUCUUUUGGCCCAUCUCGUCUCGCUUUUUUUAUUACUUUGAGAAAAUUAGAGUGUUUCAAGCAGGCUUUUGUCUUGAAUACUUGAGCAUGGAAUAAUAGAGUAGGACCUUGGUUCUAUUUUGUUGGUUUUGUUACCUUGGUAAUGGUUAAUAGGAACGGUUGGGGGCAUUCGUAUUUAACUGUCAGAGGUGAAAUUCUUAGAUUUGUUAAAGACGAACUACUGCGAAAGCAUUUGCCAAGGACGUUUCCAUUAAUCAAGAACGAAAGUUAGGGGAUCGAAGACGAUCAGAUACCGUCGUAGUCCUA